ensembl:snoRNA
AGGACACACCCAACAGGAAUCUGGGGUGAUUGUGAUGAGGGGCACACAAAAUGUGUGGCUUCCCUAUGAACAAAUUCCCUACAUGU